rnacentral:lncRNA from 1 species
UUCUUUCUAUAAGUUCUUUUGUUUGAUUUUUACUUUUUUUAUUGGUUAUUUUAUUUGACUAUUUCUCUCUUUAUUGAUCGGAUACUUUUUUCUAUUAGUUCUUCUAUUUUUUAUAUUUUUCUUUAUAUUUGAUUUAGUUUGAUUUCUCUUUUUGGUUGCUACUUUUUUUUAAUGAUAUUUGUUGUUUUAGUUUGAUUUUUUUUUAUAAAAACUCUCAAUAUUUCAUAUAAAUGUAUUGUAAAUUUUAGGAGUGAUGUUAGAUAAUAGGGAUGAACUUUUCUAUUAUAAUUUAACUAAGGAUGGUUUUUUAUAUUCAUAUUUUAUUCUAUAUUAUUUGUGUAAUUUUUAUUUUUAUUAGUUAUGUUGUUUAUUUAUUAAAUUCGAACCACUUUCUUU